UUAUUUUUUGACAAUUUUAUCAUGUCUUUUUAAACAAUUAAGGAAUGCAGACCUCUUUUAUUUCUUCUUUUUGAGGUUGUGAUUCUUUCUCUGUGGGUGCAGUCCCAUUAUCUUCAUCAUCUGACAAAAUUACAUAUGCUUCUUGAUCUUCAGUCUCAUCAUGUUCAUCAUGUUCUUCUACGUUUUCUUCUUUUGCAACCUGUAAACCAAAACAUCAAAACAAAUUUUUAUUUUUUGACAAUUUUAUCAUGUCUUUUUAAACAAUUAAGGAAUGCAGACCUCUGUUGUUUCUUCUUUUUGAGAUUCUGAUUCUUUCUCUGUGGGUGCAGUCCCAUUAUCUUCAUCAUCUGACAAAAUUACAUAUGCUUCUUGAUCUUCAGUCUCAUCAUGUUCAUCAUGUUCUUCUACGUUUUCUUCUUUUAAAACCUGUAAACCAAAACAUCAAAACAAAGUU
rnacentral:sRNA from 1 species